rnacentral:lncRNA from 1 species
UUUUCCUUGCACUUGGACUAUGGUCAACAUGCCGGCCAAAUCGAGGAAGUACAACGGGAUACUUCCUGGCAGGGAAGAAUAUGCACUGGAUUCCGAUUGGUGCCUCAAUAUAUGCUAGUAACGUAGGAGCACCCAUGUUUAUUGGACUUGCUGGCACAGCCGCUGCUAUGGGAUUCUCUGUGACCAUCUACGAGUGGCAUGUAA